rnacentral:sRNA from 1 species
UGUUUGCGUUAGGGAUUGAAGUGAAAAUCCUUUUAUUGCCUGAAAUGUCACACUGAGCAUGUCGAAGUGUUGAAGGCAAAAAAAGAUUGUAACGAAAACCCGACCUUGU